AUUGAACGCUGGCGGCAGGCUUAACACAUGCAAGUCGAGCGGAGAUGAGGUGCUUGCACCUUAUCUUAGCGGCGGACGGGUGAGUAAUGCUUAGGAAUCUGCCUAUUAGUGGGGGACAACAUUCCGAAAGGAAUGCUAAUACCGCAUACGUCCUACGGUAGAAAGCAGGGGAUCUUCGGACCUUGCGCUACAAUAUGAGCCUAAGUCGGAUUAGCUAGUUGGUGGGGUAAAGGCCUACCAAGGCGACGAUCUGUAGCGGGUCUGAGAGGAUGAUCCGCCACACUGGGACUGAGACACGGCCCAGACUUCUACGGGAGGCAGCAGUGGGGAAUAUUGGACAAUAGGGGGAACCCUGAUCCAGCCAUGCCGCGUGUGUGAAGAAGGCCUUAUGGUUGUAAAGCACUUUAAGCGAGGAGGAGGCUACUGAGACUAAUACUCUUGGAUAGUGGACGUUACUCGCAGAAUAAGCACCGGCUAACUCUGUGCCAGCAGCCGCAGUAA
rnacentral:rRNA from 1 species